UACGUAGGGGGCGAGCGUUAUCCGGAUUCACUGGGCGUAAAGGGCGCGUAGGCGGUUACGAAAGUCCGAUGUGAAAAGUCACGGCUCAACUGUGAUCGUGCAUCGGAUACUUCGUUGACUUGAGGUCGGUAGAGGCAAGUGGAACUAGCGGUGUAGCGGUGAAAUGCGCAGAUAUCGCUAGGAACGCCGGUGGCGAAGGCGACUUGCUGGGCCGUACCUGACGCUGAUGCGCGAAAGCUAGGGGAGCGAACCGG
rnacentral:rRNA from 1 species